rnacentral:tRNA from 1 species
AAGGGAGACCUAAUUCGGGUAUAAGACGAAAAAAUAGUAGUCGAAACCAAGAAUCAAUCCCAAAAGGUCGGAGCGAGGCAUGAGGCUUUCAAACUAGGUUCUGGGUUCAUAAAAGACCUGAAUCAGGAACAAGGGCUAUUAGCUCAGGUGGUUAGAGCGCACCCCUGAUAAGGGUGAGGUCCCUGGUUCGAGUCCAGGAUGGCCCACCUGCACAGGUGGUAAAAACAAAAGAAGCGAGGAAUCAGCACCUUAUCUUACUUAUACAGUAAGAGAGAAUGCUGGCUCUGAGUAAAGAGUCCAGAGGAACCUUGAAAACUGCAUAGAGCUAGGUGAAAAAGCCGAAAAAGAAGACCGCAAGGUCAAGCUAAUAAGGGCUAACGGUGGAUACCUAGGCAC